UUCUAAAACCUCUACUCCAAGGCAAACUUGAAUGUACUGACUCCAUGAGAGCUGAGAUGGUACAGUGAGAUGAGAUAAUGAACUGGAAUAGCAGAGUCUGGGGUUUGACUUACACAAAUGAAGCACACCAUAAUCCCCUGCCCCGGUGUGCAUGAAACAGCUCUCUUUACUCAUACUGCUAGUGAAAAGUUGCCUUCCACUCCGAGUCUCUAUUACUGACACACAUUUUAAGAGGCUUUGCUCCAGGUUUCUCAUUCCCUCAAUGUGGAAUUCCUCUCUGCUGCACAACAGUAGCACUUCUUAUCUGUCUUUCUGGUUGUUUUCAUUUUCCAGACAGGUAGACUGGGCUGGCCUGGAACUCACAGAAAUCCUCCUGUCUCUGUUUCCCAAGAAUUGGGGUCAAAGGCAUGCACCGCUAUAUCCUACUAGUUCUUACCUUUUUUUUUUUUUUUAAGAUUUAUUUCUUUAUUUUGUGUAUGAGUACACUGUCACUGUCUUCAGACACACCAGGAGAGGGCAUCAGAUCCCAUUACAGAUGGUUGUGAGCCACCAUGUGGUUGCUAGGAAUUGAACUCAGGACCUCUGGAAGAGCAGCCAGUGCUCUUAACCGCUGAGCCAUCUCUCCAGCUCAAUUCUUACCUAUCUUGAUCUCUACUACUUUAAACAAAAUUACUUGACUUUUUGAGACAGGAUCUCAUGUUUCCAGGUCAACCUUGAACUCAGUGUGUAGGCAUAUGCGACCUUGGCCAGUUUAUUCGGUACCAUGCCCAGGGAUUGAAUGGACCAGAGCUGUAUAUAUGCUAGGCAAGCACUUUACCAACUGAGCUAUAUCCCUAGGCCCUUGAUCUUUAUCACUCUU
rnacentral:lncRNA from 1 species